rnacentral:lncRNA from 1 species
UAUACGACAUAUACUCAAGGAAAUGGUAAAGUACCAUUUGACCCGAAAUAAUGAAACCUUUAUUGGUAGCUUAAGGUGACUACAAUCAAAGAGAAUGGUUGACUUUGAAGAAACCAUCUUUGACGUAGUCUUAGUUUCAAUUAAUUCGAAGAUUGCUAGCUACAACUAAAUGGUGAUUCAAUGUUUGGACAUAAUAUGGGUUUCCGAAACCAUUAUUAAGAUAGUCUUGAUAAUAUAUAUCUAAAACUAUGAAUCACAAGACAUGUAAGUUGUAGAGAUCCAUCCAUCAUGGAUCUUAGCAAGCUAGUGGGAGCUAUAAGCGUCUUAUGAGAGAAAGAUCAAAUCGUUUGAUUUCUCAUAAAGAUGUGAAUGAAUCUUUUGUUUACUAGGUUUACAAAAGAUUAGUGGGAGUUAAUCAAAUUCCUAAAUUUGAAUAUAUAUAUAUGAUAUAUUAAUUUUGGAAAUGAAAAGAAUACUUCUUCGUUAAAGUUAUGACUUUAAACAUUCUAUAAUGAUAGAAUGUAUAUGGGAGAUAUAGUCUAAAUACAUGGGAUAGAAAUCUAUAAUGAUAUAUUUCAAGAUAUAAUUCGAUUAUAUCAAUCCCUAAUAAUAGACAAGAGAUGCUAGGAAGUUUCUCAUAUGAUGAUAAACUUCAAUUAGAGGAUGACUCUAGUGAGACUAGCAAGUUGCCCUUCCCAAAGGGAACGUACCCUUUGACUCCCAAAGAAAUAAUGCGUAAAUAGAAUCCUUUAUGCAUACGCAGAAAGGUGAUUUAUGUAUUUCAAAUUGUAUGAAAAACAUUGAUAUGAGUUGUACCUAGAAAGGUACAAGACGAUAUCAGUGCAAGCCCAGGAUCAGAACCAUGGCAACUGUCAAGUUAGUCCUUGAGUAUUUAAGAAAUACUAAAGGAUAGAUUCUUCAAAGAAUGAGGAAGAAUUAGAGUAACGUAAUGGAAGCGUAAAUGUAUUAGAUUAUGAAUCUAAUCCAUCAUUGGAUGUUUCUUCAUUAUGAAUGAAGAGAUAAUCAGAUAUCUCUUUAUUAUAACUAAAAGAGAUAUUUGGAUGGAAACAUUAAAAGUAAUGACUUUAGUGUGUUCCAUUGUGAAUGCAAAAUAUAUUGCCAUAUAGAAGCUUACAACAAUGUUGUUUGGAUGGGAAAGUUCAUUUAUGAACUCUCUAUUCGGUUCCAACCAGAAAGUGUCUCUAGUGUACUGACACUACGACAUUAAUGGGGUGAUAGCUCAAGCCAGGGAACCAAGGUCUCAUCACGAUCCGAACUCAAAUGAGAGACUGAACCACAUGAUUGAGAAUCAUGUAUAAUGGUGAUGUCGUUAUUCUCAAGUUUGCUUCUAUGGAUAACAUAUAGAUAUCCAUUGUCUAGGCCUACUACUCAGCCAUUUUUGAAAUGACUACAUAAGAGGUAUCAUCACUGAUGACCAAGCUGAUUGGCUCUAGUGCAAGUGGGAGAUUGUUGUAAAUGUGCCCUAAAACCAAUCAUAUGAUGAUACUUGAUGCGUAAAAUAACUAAGCACACAAAUUAAACCCUCUUUUGACAAUUGUAGUAUAGAUAUAAGUAGGGUAUCGUUCUAGGCCGGGGAUUAGGAGGGAUUGCUAAUCUAUUCUAAAUUAAUUUAAAAAUAUUAAAUAAGACUCAAGGACACGAAACUAGGCUAAAAACUCUAAUAACUCAAAACACACUUAGGAUAACUCAAAAUAAUGAAAACAAUCAAAUUAGACACUAGGAACUGCAAUGGAUGGAAAUUGAAUUAAAAGACUAACAACAAAGAAAACUAACUAAAUAAAAUAAUUUAAUAAUUGGGGGUUUGGUUUUGACGAGAAGUAAAUUAAACUUAAAUAAAUUACAGAAUUGACAAAAACAUGAAAUUA